GAUGAACGCUAGCUACAGGCUUAACACAUGCAAGGUCGAGGGGAAACGACAUCGAAAGCUUGCUUUUGAUGGGCGUCGACCGGCGCACGGGUGAGUAACGCGUAUCCAACCUGCCCACCACUUGGGGGAUAACCUUGCGAAAGUAAGACUAAUACCCAAUGAUAUCCCACGAAGGCAUCCGAAUGGGAUUAAAGAUUUAUCGGUGAUGGAUGGGGAUGCGUCUGAUUAGCUUGUUGGCGGGGUAACGGCCCACCAAGGCAACGAUCAGUAGGGGUUCUGAGAGGAAGGUCCCCCACAUUGGAACUGAGACACGGUCCAAACUCCUACGGGAGGCAGCAGUGAGGAAUAUUGGUCAAUGGGCGAGAGCCUGAACCAGCCAAGUAGCGUGCAGGAUGACGGCCCUAUGGGUUGUAAACUGCUUUUAUAAGGGAAUAAAGUGAGUCUCGUGAGACUUUUUGCAUGUACCUUAUGAAUAAGGACCGGCUAAUUCCGUG
rnacentral:rRNA from 1 species